UACGGGAGGCAGCAGUGGGGAAUAUUGGGCAAUGGGCGCAAGCCUGACCCAGCGACGCCGCGUGAGUGAAGAAGUAUUUCGGUAUGUAAAGCUCUUUAAGCAGGGAAGAUAAUGACGGUACCUGCAGAAUAAGCACCGGCUAAAUACGUGCCAGCAGCCGCGGUAAU
rnacentral:rRNA from 1 species